rnacentral:rRNA from 1 species
CCUACGGGAGGCAGCAGUGAGGAAUUUUCCGCAAUGGGCGAAAGCCUGACGGAGCAAUGCCGCGUGGAGGAGGAAGGCCUGUGGGUCGUAAACUCCUUUUCUCAGAGAAGAAGUUCUGACGGUAUCUGAGGAAUAAGCAUCGGCUAACUCUGUGCCAGCAGCCGCGGUAAUACAGGGGAUGCAAGCGUUAUCCGGAAUUAUUGGGCGUAAAGCGUCCUGAGGUGGCUUACCCAGUCGACUGUGAAAGCUCAAGGCUUAACCUUGAAACGGCAGUCGAAACUUGUAGGCUUGAGUACGGUAGGGGCAGAGGGAAUUCCCGGAGGAGAGGUGAAAUUCGUAGAUAUCGGGAGGAAGGCCAAAGGCGAAAGCACUCUGCUGGGCCGAUUACUGACACUGACAGACGAAAGCUAGGGGAGCGAAAGGGAUUAGAUACCCCUGUAGUCCUAGCCGUAAACGAUGGAUACUAAGUGUUGCGCGACUCAAAACGUGCAGUGCUGCAGCUAACGCGGUAAGUAUCCCGCCUGGGGAGUAUGCCCGCAAGGGUGAAACUUAAAGGAAUUGACGG